rnacentral:rRNA from 1 species
UACGGAGGAUGCGAGCGUUAUCCGGAUUUAUUGGGUUUAAAGGGUGCGUAGGCGGGCUCUUAAGUCAGCGGUAAAAUUGAGGGGCUCAACCCCUUAUGGCCGUUGAAACUGUUGGUCUUGAGUGGGCGAGAAGUAUGCGGAAUGCGUGGUGUAGCGGUGAAAUGCAUAGAUAUCACGCAGAACUCCGAUUGCGAAGGCAGCAUACCGGCGCCCAACUGACGCUCAUGCACGAAAGCGUGGGUAUCGAACAGG